CGGCGGGUAAGGCUGGGAGGCUUGCCCUCUCCUACAAACCUGAAACGGGCAACAUGCUGGGGCCAGUAACCUGAGGAGCGCGACCAAGCGCUCCAGGGGGCCUGCCUGCCACUGGGUUGAAGUCCAGCUCUGUCGGGCGAGUGCAGGAGUAGGCGCAUCUGUAGGGGUGCGCCGUAUCCCUAACCGACGAAUGCGCCAGGCCCGGGAGGGAGCAGCGGUAAGGCGGGCUACUUUGCGCUGGCAGAAAAACUGGGCUGACUGGCGGAGGCAGGUACUCCUGAAGAAUGCUGGCCGCCAUCCGAGGGAGCCGCCG
rnacentral:SRP_RNA from 1 species